CAAUAGCGUAUAUUAAAGUUGUUGCAGUUAAAAAGCUCGUAGUUGGAUUUCUGGUGGGAGCGAUCGGUCUGGCGCUUAGCGCGAGUACUUGCAUCGUCUCCGGCCAUCCUUGGGGAGAGUCUGUCUGGCAUUAAGUUGUCGGGCAGAGGAUCCUCAUCGUUUACUGUGAAAAAAUUAGAGUGUUCAAAGCAGGCUUAUGCCGUUGAAUAUAUUAGCAUGGAAUAAUAAGAUAGGACUUUGGUACUAUUUUGUUGGUUUGCGCACCAAAGUAAUGAUUAAUAGGGACAGUUGGGGGUAUUCGUAUUCCGUUGUCAGAGGUGAAAUUCUUGGAUUUACGGAAGACGAAUUACUGCGAAAGCAUUUACCAAGGAUGUUUUCAUUAA
rnacentral:rRNA from 1 species